rnacentral:rRNA from 1 species
GGGGGGACAGGGUGACAGGUGGUGCAUGGUUGUCGUCAGCUCGUGUCGUGAGAUGUUGGGUUAAGUCCCGCAACGAGCGCAACCCUCGCCUCUAGUUGCCAGCAUUCGGUUGGGCACUCUAGAGGGACUGCCGGCGACAAGUCGGAGGAAGGUGGGGAUGACGUCAAAUCAUCAUGCCCCUUAUGACCUGGGCUACACACGUGCUACAAUGGGCGGUACAAAGGGCUGCGAACCCGCGAGGGGGAGCGAAUCCCAAAAAGCCGCUCUCAGUUCGGAUUGCAGGCUGCAACUCGCCUGCAUGAAGCCGGAAUCGCUAGUAAUCGCGGAUCAGCAUGCCGCGGUGAAUACGUUCCCGGGCCUUGUACACACCGCCCGUCACACCACGAGAGCUUGCAACACCCGAAGUCGGUGAGGUAACCCGCAAGGGAGCCAGCCGCCGAAGGUGGGGCAAGUGAUUGGGGUGAAGUCGUAACAAGGUAGCCGUACCGGAAGGUGCGGCUGGAUCACCUCCU